rnacentral:misc_RNA from 2 species
AACGCACAUUGCGCCUGCUGGUAUUCCGGUAGGCAUGCCUGUUUGAGCGUCAGCAAAACCUCUCAGCAAUGAUUUAUUAUUGUUGGUUAUGGGCCGCGGAGGACUGGCUUUUACGGCCACUCCCGCCUUAAACUUGCUGCACGACCGCGAGCUAUUGCUAGGUUAAUGGAGUGGAUUUUACAUUUUAAUUCCAGCAACUGUUCAUAGCUUGGAGGCGUUAAAAAGGAUGUCGUUAACGCGACUGAAGUUUUGACCUCAAAUCAGACAAGGAUACCCGCUGAACUUAA